ACGUAGGGGGCUAGCGUUAUCCGGAUUUACUGGGCGUAAAGGGUGCGUAGGCGGUCUUUCAAGUCAGGAGUGAAAGGCUACGGCUCAACCGUAGUAAGCUCUUGAAACUGGGAGACUUGAGUGCAGGAGAGGGGAGUGGAAUUCCUAGUGUAGCGGUGAAAUGCGUAGAUAUUAGGAGGAACACCAGUUGCGAAGGCGGCUCUCUGGACUGUAACUGACGCUGAGGCACGAAAGCGUGGGGAGCAAACAGGAUUAGAAACCGUGGUAGUC
rnacentral:rRNA from 1 species